CAAAAUUACUUCCAUGGUCCGAAAAGUUCCAUGCAGUGUUAGCAGCAAUAUUAGUUCCAUGAUCAGACAAGUCGGCUGCGGAAUUAACAGCAUUACUUCCAUGAUCGGACAAUUCGAAUGCAGAUUCAGCAGCACCUGAAGUAUUUUUUUGGGGACCAUCGAAAACUUGUUUUGCUUGUUCCCAUAAUUCUGGUUUACUAGUUGCCACAAACUUUGCAGUAUUUAUUCCUAAAUUCACCACAGAAACCCCUAAUAGAGCUGCUGUAAGCUUAUCCUUCGUAGUCAUCUGAAAAAUCAAGAUGGAUAUUAAUUGUUAUAUGCAUGAAGAUUUGUUGUUUGAUAUUUC
rnacentral:lncRNA from 1 species